UGCUUAAAUCUUUUUACUCUCUGAGUUAUGAAUUUAGGUUAGUUCUACAUCCAAGAUAAAUCUCAAUUAAUUCUUCUUUUUUCUUUUCCCAUUUCCUCCUGUCUCCCUCUCUUCUUUCCUUCUACUCUUUUCUUCACUUUUCUCUCUCUCUUCUUCUCAGUUUUUAUUUUUGUAAUUUGAAAUCAAUGUGCAAGCCAGAGCUUCUUUAGGAAAGACCAUUCCUGAGAGAACAACAGGAAGAAAUAUGAAUGUUAAACAUGUGGUGCCGUGUGGAAGCAAAGCUCCAUAAUUAAUCUAUAGAGCCAUCACCACUGUCAAAAGCAGAAAGGCCCCAGAGGAAAUAAUUUUUGUAUAGAAUGAUGGCAGCAUUAGUGACAGCAGUAAUGAUAAGACACUGAAAAGUAUGUGAAAAUUUCCUUUACAAUCCUGUGUGAGGUUUAAUUAUAAAAACUAGUAUCUUGGACACUUAACUAUUUUUUUUCAGAGGGAAUCAGAGCUAUUUCCAUGAAUUAAUGUCUUAAUCCCCACAACAAUGAGGUCGUGGUCAUCUAGUUGUAGAAUGACUCCUGCCUGCUACAUUUCCCCAGAUACCCAGGACCUUCAUGCUGUCACUCUCCAUGACCUGACCAACAUCUAUUUUGAGAAAUUAUUUUAUAUACUCAUUCAAACAGUCAUCUUUUGUGUCCAGAGUUGGUUCCUUCUGGUGGGUUCGUGGUCUCGCUAACUUCAAGAAUGGAGCCACGGACCUUCGCGAAACUGCAAGUCUCCCUCUCCAAACCAAAUUCCUGAGACUGGAGCCCUGACCUGAGACUGGAGGUGAUCCAAAUGCUGAUAGUCAUCCUUAUUGCCACUAUCCCACUCUGCAUUUCCUGGUUGGAUAAACAUCUAAGAAAAUGCUGGUUUUGUCUUCAUCCAUGCAUACUUCUCCAUCUGCUUUCCAGUCUAUGCUCUCACAUACUGUGUCUGAAAGCCUGAACUAGGCCAGGCGCAUUGGCUCAUGCCUGUAGUCCUAGCAUUUUGGGAAGCUGAGGCAGGUG
rnacentral:lncRNA from 1 species